rnacentral:rRNA from 1 species
UACAGAGGUCUCAAGCGUUGUUCGGAUUCAUUGGGCGUAAAGGGUGCGUAGGUGGCGCUGUAAGUCGGGUGUGAAAUUUCGGAGCUUAACUCCGAAACUGCAUUCGAUACUGCGGUGCUCGAGGACUGGAGAGGAGACUGGAAUUCAUGGUGUAGCAGUGAAACGCGUAGAGAUCAUGAGGAAGACCAGUGGCGAAGGCGGGUCUCUGGACAGUUCCUGACACUGAGGCACGAAGGCCAGGGGAGCAAACGGG